AACUUUUAGCAAUGGAUCACUUGGUUCUGGCAUCGAUGAAGAACGCAGCGAAAUGCGAUAAGUAAUGUGAAUUGCAGAAUUCAGUGAAUCGUCGAAUCUUUGAACGCACAUUGCGCCCGCCAGUAUUCUGGCGGGCAUGCCUGUCCGAGCGUCAUUUCAACCCUCGAACCCCUCCGGGGGUACGGCGUUGGGGAUCGGCCCUUUACGGGGCCGGCCCCGAAAUACAGUGGCGGUCUCGCCGCAGCCUCUCCUGCGCAGUAGUUUGCACACUCGCAUCGGGAGCGCGGCGCGUCCACGUCCGUAAAACACCCAACUUUCUGAAAUGUUGACCUCGGAUCAGGUAGGAAUACCCGCUGAACUUAAGCAUAUCAAUAAGCGGAGGCU
rnacentral:misc_RNA from 1 species